rnacentral:rRNA from 1 species
UACGGAGGGUGCGAGCGUUGAUCGGAAUUACUGGGCGUAAAGGGUGCGUAGGUGGUUGAUUAAGUUAUCUGUGAAAUUCCUGGGCUUAACCUGGGACGGUCAGAUAAUACUGGUUGACUCGAGUAUGGGAGAGGGUAGGGGAAUUUCCGGUGUAGCGGUGAAAUGCGUAGAGAUCGGAAGGAACACCAGUGGCGAAGGCGGCUCCCUGGGCUACUACUGACACUGAGGAGCGAAAGCGUGGGGAGCAAACAGG